GAACAAGCUAGCCCCUAACUAACUGAAUGCCCGAAGAAAUAGCAUGUACAGGAAAGUAAAAUUAUAUAUAGUAGUAAACAAUAGAAUAAGAGCAUGCUUGUGUGAUUUCCUAUUGUAACGGCAUACUCGCUAGGCUAGAGUUCUUUGAAUCUCAGGAGGGCCAUUUGAAGUUUUUAAUUUUAUUUGGUUGUAUUCUUUUUCUUAUUCAGCAAUACAAAGCUCUGUUGAGCAAUUCCCUCUACAUUUUCUCUCUUUAAUUGCUCUUUUUAAACUCCUAACUCUAUCAAAUUCAUAUGUUAUACAAACUCAAAAUCCUAAUCCUCUAAUCAAGUCAGCUUUCUCUUUCUCAACUAUUCUUUUUUUUUUAAUUUCUUUUUCUCGCCUUGGGACGCCUGGUGGCACCUUGCCUGGGUGCCUAGGGGGCACCUAAUUGAGAAUGCCUCGCCUGAAGGAAGGCUUCCCAGGCAUGGUACCUGGAUUUCACCUCGCCCGAGUGCCUUUUGACAACACUAAUAUUAAUUACAAUAAAAUAUCAAUUUCAUUAUAUUUAAAAGUAGUAUUAAAAAAUAAAGGACAAUGAGAAAAAAAAAUUACAAUC
rnacentral:misc_RNA from 1 species